rnacentral:rRNA from 1 species
UACAGAGGUCUCAAGCGUUGUUCGGAUUCAUUGGGCGUAAAGGGUGUGUAGGUGGCGCCGUUAGUCGGGUGUGAAAUUUCGGAGCUUAACUCCGAAACUGCAUUCGAUACUGUGGUGCUUGAGGACUGGAGAGGAGACUGGAAUUCAUGGUGUAGCAGUGAAAUGCGUAGAGAUCAUGAGGAAGACCAGUGGCGAAGGCGGGUCUCUGGACAGUUCCUGACACUGAGACACGAAGGCCAGGGGAGCAAACGGG